GACGAACGCUAGCGGGAGGCUUAACACAUGCAAGUCGAGGGGUAUUGUAGCAAUACAUUAGACCGGCGCGCGGGUGAGUAACGCGUAUGCAACCUGCCGUUAACCGGGGGAUAGCCCGUCGAAAGGUGGAUUAAUACCCCAUAAUAUUGGGAUUCUGCAUGGGAUUUCAAUUAAAGCUGAGGUGGUUAACGAUGGGCAUGCGUGACAUUAGCUAGUUGGUAGGGUAACGGCCUACCAAGGCUACGAUGUCUAGGGGUUCUGAGAGGAAGGUCCCCCACACUGGUACUGAGACACGGACCAGACUCCUACGGGAGGCAGCAGUGAGGAAUAUUGGUCAAUGGGCGAGAGCCUGAACCAGCCAUCCCGCGUGCAGGAAGACGGCCCUAUGGGUUGUAAACUGCUUUUGCGCAUGAAGAAUGUUACCGACGUGUCGGUAAGUGACGGUAAUGCGUGAAUAAGCAUCGGCUAACUCCGUGCCAGCCGCCGCGGUAAGAC
rnacentral:rRNA from 1 species